rnacentral:piRNA from 1 species
UAAGGCUCGUGUUGCCCAGGAAACUCUGU